AUUGAACGCUGGCGGCAGGCUUAACACAUGCAAGUCGAGCGGGGAAGGGUAGCUUGCUACCUGACCUAGCGGCGGACGGGUGAGUAAUGCUUAGGAAUCUGCCUAUUAGUGGGGGACAACAUUCCGAAAGGAAUGCUAAUACCGCAUACGCCCUACGGGGGAAAGCAGGGGAUCUUCGGACCUUGCGCUAAUAGAUGAGCCUAAGUCAGAUUAGCUAGUUGGUGGGGUAAAGGCCUACCAAGGCGACGAUCUGUAGCGGGUCUGAGAGGAUGAUCCGCCACACUGGGACUGAGACACGGCCCAGACUCCUACGGGAGGCAGCAGUGGGGAAUAUUGGACAAUGGGCGCAAGCCUGAUCCAGCCAUGCCGCGUGUGUGAAGAAGGCCUUUUGGUUGCAAAGCACUUUAAGCGAGGAGGAGGCUACUUGGAUUAAUACUCUAGGAUAGUGGACGUUACUCGCAGAAUAAGCACCGGCUAACUCUGUGCCAGCAGCCGCGGUAAUACAGAGGGUGCGAGCGUUAAUCGGAUUUACUGGGCGUAAAGCGUGCGUAGGCGGCUUUUUAAGUCGGAUGUGAAAUCCCUGAGCUUAACUUAGGAAUUGCAUUCGAUACUGGGAAGCUAGAGUAUGGGAGAGGAUGGUAGAAUUCCAGGUGUAGCGGUGAAAUGCGUAGAGAUCUGGAGGGAUACCGAUGGCGAAGGCAGCCAUCUGGCCUAAUACUGACGCUGAGGUACGAAAGCAUGGGGAGCAAACAGG
rnacentral:rRNA from 1 species